UACGUAGGGUGCAAGCGUUGUCCGGAAUUAUUGGGCGUAAAGCGCUCGCAGAUGGUUCGUUGCGUCGUGCGUGAAAGACCCCGGCUCAACUGGGGGAUGUCGUGCGAUACGGGCGGACUGGAGGCCAGUAGGGGGAUGCGGAAUUCCGGGUGUAGUGGUGGAAUGCGUAGAGAUCCGGAGGAACACCAGCGGCGAAGGCGGCAUCCUGGACUGGUCCUGACACUCAGGAGCGAAAGCGUGGGGAGCGAUCCGG
rnacentral:rRNA from 1 species